rnacentral:hammerhead_ribozyme from 1 species
ACUCAGCUGAUGAGUCCCAAAUAGGACGAAAUGCAACUUAUCAUGGAU